CACGGGUGCGUAACGCGUAUGCAACCUACCCUGUACUGGGGAAUAGCCCGGAGAAAUCCGGAUUAACACCCCAUAGCACUGAAUUACCGCAUGGUAUAUCAGUUAAAGGUUACGGUACGGGAUGGGCAUGCGUCCUAUUAGCUAGAUGGUAAGGUAACGGCUUACCAUGGCUACGAUAGGUAGGGGGCCUGAGAGGGUGGUCCCCCACACUGGUACUGAGACACGGACCAGACUCC
rnacentral:rRNA from 1 species